CGCUCAACAGCUAGCCCACCCAUUAACCACAAAUCUACCCUAUCUAUACCCCCAAACACACCUCCCCUAAUUAAACAAACCAUUUUUCCACCUAAGUACGGGCGACGAAAAAGGACCUAGGAGCAACAGAGAAAGUACCGCAAGGGAAAGCUGAAAGAGAAAUGAAACAACCCAGUAAAGCACUAAAAAGCAGANACCACCCCUCGUACCUUUUGCAUCAUGAUUUAGCCAGAAACCCUUAAGCAAAAAGCAUUAUAGUUUAAUUCCCCGAAACUAAGCGAGCUACUCCAAGGCAGUCUAAUUUAUAGGACCCCCCCGUCUCUGUGGCAAAAGAGUGGGAAGAACUUUGAGUAGAGGUGACAGACCUACCGAGCCUAGUUAUAGCUGGUUGCCUGAGAACUGAAUAGAAGUUCAGCCCUUUAAAUUCCUUACUCCCAUUGGCCCAAGGCCUUUGCACCGAACAAAAGAAAUUAAAGGAGUUAGUCAAAGGGGGUACAGCCCCUUUGAAACAAGAUACAACUUUCCAAGAAGGGUAAAGAUCACAACAAACUUAAAGGUUUAAUGUCCUAGUGGGCCUAAAAGCAGCCAUCUAUUCAGAAAGCGUUAAAGCUCGAACAUUACACAACCAGCCUUCUAAUAAAGACAACAUAAUCUCACCCCUCUAAACCUAUCAGGCCGUUCCAUAAAAAUAUGGAAGUGUUAAUGCUAAUAUGAGUAAUAAGAGAGUCCCCCUCUCUCCCCGCACAAGUGUAACUCGGAACGAACCAUUCACCGACCAUUAACGGCCCCAAAACAAAGAGGGACUUAGACAAAAAACAAACAACUAGAAAAUCAUCUAGCCUCCCACCGUUGACCCCACACUGGUGUGCUAACCGGGAAAGACUAAAAGGAAAAAAAGGAACUCGGCAAACACAAGCCUCGCCUGUUUACCAAAAACAUCGCCUCUUGUACCCUUAAAUAUAAGAGGUCCCGCCUGCCCUGUGACUGUAA
rnacentral:rRNA from 1 species